rnacentral:rRNA from 1 species
ACCAACAGGCAUUGCCCCAGUAACGGCGAGUGAAGCGGCAACAGCUCAAAUUUGAAAUCUGGCUCCCCAGGGUCCGAGUUGUAAUUUGUAGAGGAUGCUUUUGACGCGGUGCCUUCCGAGUUCCCUGGAACGGGACGCCAUAGAGGGUGAGAGCCCCGUAUGGUCGGAUACCGCGUCUCUGUAAAGCUCCUUCGACGAGUCGAGUAGUUUGGGAAUGCUGCUCAAAAUGGGAGGUAUAUGUCUUCUAAAGCUAAAUAUUGGCCAGAGACCGAUAGCGCACAAGUAGAGUGAUCGAAAGAUGAAAAGCACUUUGAAAAGAGGGUUAAAAAGUACGUGAAAUUGUUGAAAGGGAAGCGCUUAUGACCAGACUUGGGCCCGGUGAAUCAUCCAGCGUUCUCGCUGGUGCACUUCCCCAGUGGAGGCCAGCAUCGGUUUCUGCCGGGGGAUAAAAGCUUCGGGAAUGUGGCUCCUUCGGGAGUGUUAUAGCCCGUUGCAUAAUACCCUGGCGGGGACCGAGGUUCGCGCAUUGCAAGGAUGCUGGCGUAAUGGUUAUUAAUCACCCGUCUUGAAACACGGACCAAGGAGUCGAACAUUUGUGCGAGUGUUUGGGUGUUAAACCCUCACGCGUAAUGAAAGUGAACGGAGGUGAGAGCCCCUCGGGGUGCAUCAUCGACCGAUCCUGAUGUCUUCGGAUGGAUUUGAGUAAGAGCAUAACUGUUCGGACCCGAAAGAUGGUGAACUAUGCGUGGAUAGGGUGAAGCCAGAGGAAACUCUGGUGGAGGCUCGCAGCGGUUCUGACGUGCAAAUCGAUCGUCAAAUCUGCGCAUGGGGGCGAAAGACUAAUCGAACC